rfam:Bacteroidetes bacterium R-53146 genome assembly, contig: Ga0061079_104
UCCUCCUUAGCUCAGUCGGUUAGAGCAUCUGACUGUUAAUCAGAGGGUCGCUGGUUCGAGCCCAGCAGGAGGAG